AUUGAACGCUGGCGGCAUGCCUUACACAUGCAAGUCGAACGGUAACAGGUCUUCGGAUGCUGACGAGUGGCGAACGGGUGAGUAAUAUACCGGAACGUGCGCAGACGCGGGGGGUAACGAGUCGAAAGCUUGGCUAAUAUCGCAUACGCUCUAAGGAUGAGAGCAGGGGAGCGCAUGGGCUCGUGCGCUUGGAGAGGCGGAUGGCAGGUUAGGUAGUUGGUGGGAUAUAAGGGUACCAAGACGACGAUCUGUAACUGGUCUGAGAGGACGAGCAGCCACACUGGGACUGAGACACGGCCCAGACUCCUACGGGAGGCAGCAGUGGGGAAUAUUGGACAAUGGGCGAAAGCCUGAUCCAGCAAUGCCGCGUGCAGGAUGAAGGCCUUCGGAUUGUAAAGUGCUUUAGGACGGAACGAAGAGACGCUAGCUAAUACCUGGUGCUCAUGACGGUACCGUAAGAAUAAGCACCGGCUAACUACGUG
rnacentral:rRNA from 1 species